rnacentral:antisense_RNA from 1 species
CCCUAUGGUAACGCGUAGCGGGAAAGGUUUCGCCCUUUGCCGUUUACCACUGAUAACGGUUUGUCACCCCGUUGCGCGUUACCGCCAAA